rnacentral:rRNA from 1 species
CUUAGAAGCAGCCACCCUUUAAAGAAAGCGUAAUAGCUCACUAGUCGAGUCGGCCUGCGCGGAAGAUAUAACGGGGCUAAACUAUAAACCGAAGCUGCGGACUUAUCUUAUGAUAAGUGGUAGAGGAGCGUUCUGUAAGUUGAUGAAGGUGGAUCGAGAGGUCUGCUGGAGAUAUCAGAAGUGCGAAUGCUGACAUGAGUAACGAUAAGGGGGGUGAAAAACCUCCCCGCCGAAAGAUCAAGGUUUCCUGUCCAACGUUAAUCGGGACAGGGUGAGUCGGCCCCUAAGGCGAGGCUGAAGAGCGUAGUCGAUGGGAAACAGGUUAAUAUUCCUGUACCGCGCAUAACUGCGACGGGGUGACGGAGAAGGCUAGGCUAGCCUGGUGAUGGUUAUCCAGGUUUAAGCAAGUAGGCUGAGGAAUUAGGUAAAUCCGGUUCCUCCCUUUUAGUAGGAAAGCCGAGACGUGAUGACGAACCGAUCUUAUACGAUCGGGAAGUGGUCGAUGCCAUGCUUCCAAGAAAAACCUCUAAGCUUC